AACGAACGCUGGCGGCAUGCCUAACACAUGCAAGUCGAACGAGACCUUCGGGUCUAGUGGCGCACGGGUGCGUAACGCGUGGGAAUCUGCCCUUGGGUUCCGAAUAACGCAGAGAAAUUUGUGCUAAUACCGGAUGAUGUCUUCGGACCAAAGAUUUAUCGCCCAGGGAUGAGCCCGCGUAAGAUUAGGUAGUUGGUGGGGUAAUGGCCUACCAAGCCGACGAUCUUUAGCUGGUCUGAGAGGAUGAUCAGCCACACUGGGGCUGAGACACGGCCCAGACUCCUACGGGAGGCAGCAGUGGGGAAUAUUGGACAAUGGGCGCAAGCCUGAUCCAGCAAUGCCGCGUGAGUGAUGAAGGCCUUAGGGUUGUAAAGCUCUUUUACCCGGGAUGAUAAUGACAGUACCGGGAGAAUAAGCUCCGGCUAACUCCGUGCCAGCAGCCGCCGUAA
rnacentral:rRNA from 1 species